CAACCAAACUGAUGAUACAGAGAUCAUGGGGACAUGACGACAGUGCUAGUAUAGGGACCAAGGGGACUCAGAGGAGAGAACGGAGGCUGCAGGAACGGAGACUUGGUGACCUUUUCUGGCACUGAUGAGGCCUGGGCCUUUUGCUGAGUCCUACAUACAUAAUUGCUCCGUGAAUGCCCACCUAAGCCAAGGGUGCACAUUGCUAUCCCCGGCUGGCCACUGAGGCCACUGAGAUACUUAGAGAUCAUGUGACUUCUCCAAACACACAUUCAGUAAGGGCAAGGGAGCGGAUGCAGACAUAGUUCUCCCCAUGACCAGCUGUGGGAACCCCUACACCCUGGGGUUGGACGAGGCUGGUGGGGAAAGGCAGGUGUGGAAGGAGUCAUGGUGGGAAAACCUACAACUGGACGUGGCCUCCUCACAGGAGAACUGAGUGUCAGAAGCCUGGUUUAGGAUUGGGAUUUAGGGAGAAUGGGCUUAGAAACGGCUGCAGAAGCUACCUGGAGUGUGAGAAGAAAAAUGCUUUCAAGUGUCCUUGCACCGAGGAGUACAGAUCCUUGGAGGAGAAAAGGAUCCAAGGUGUGUACUUGGUCUGAGAGGAGGGGUGCAGGCCUCCCCUUGGGAAGUGCCUCCAGCCCGGCCCUGCACGUUCAGCUUCCGGGCCCUAUCACCACCUCCUUACCAACCCCUUCCUCUGCAGGAACGAGGCCAGGACAUGCUCUGGAGAUGCUGUGGAAUGAGCGUGAACGUGAGCACUGUUCAGGAAGCCAUGCCCCGGGGUAGAAGCUGUGUCAAGUUCCUGGUCUGAGGCAAAGCAGUGUCUAUUGGGUCAACAGUGGGACACGCUGGUGGGCUGAUGAGUUGCUUCACGGAAGCCAGACCUCAUGUGGACACAAGGAAGAGAUUAGCAGACUGAAUUUGACCUUGGACAUUUGCCUUCUCAGCCCUCAGUGCUGGCCUGACUCUCAGCUCAGCUCUCUCCUUUCUUCUCUGGGGAGUCAGUGCCUACCCUUGGCAUCUGUUUUCCCUCCUACCUCCUGACCACUGAGAUAGGAGCCAUUUAUCAAUUCCCCUCCACAGAGUGUCCGAUUCUAUUGCUAAAAUAUUACCAUUCUCAGCUGAAUAGAUUUCCUUGGCAGGUUCUGGCCUCUUUUGGUUAAAGGGGGAAAGUCGCAUUUUUCUACCUAAUCCUGUUGUGAAAUGUUCCCCUUCGUUCGACAUGUUCAUUCAGAUAACACCUCUCGGCCUUCCCAUUUCUCACUCCUAAUCUUUUAUUUCUCUUUUCCAAGAUUUAUAACUUACAUAUGCAUCUGUCUCUCUCUUUAAAUUUAUUGCAGUGCCUCCUUCUCUUUCCUAUCACACCUUUGCAUCUGCCCCACCUGCUCGUCAUGAGUCCUUGGUGGAGCUCAGAGGCACUGGUGCGUGCUCUGCUAUACCCUCCUCUCCUUGGCCCUGUACAAUCCAUCAUUCGAUCAAAAUGCACCACCUUCUAAAAUGUCUUCAAUCUGGGAUGCCUGGGUGGCUCAGCGGUUUAGCGCCUGCCUUUGGCCUGGGGUGUGAUCCUGGAGUCCCAGGAUCGAGUCUCAUAUCGGGCUCCCUGCAUGGACCCUGCUUCUCCCUCAGCCUGUGUCUCUCCCUCUCUCUCUGUGUCUCUCAUGAAUAAAUAAAUAAAAUCUUUAAAAAAAAUAAAAUGU
rnacentral:lncRNA from 12 species